rnacentral:lncRNA from 1 species
CGUGGUGGCCAGGCUGAUCUCGAACUCCUGACCCUAGGUGAUCUGCCCACCUCUGCCUCCCACAGCACUGGGAUUACAGCACUGGGCUAAAAUGUCUACAAGUUCAGAUGGCUCCCUGGCUCCUCCUUCAGCCACCAUCCUCCCAAGGGAGAGUCAGUGCUGACAUGAGUCCCCUAAAAUUCGUUCAUCUUUCUGCUGCAAUGGAUAACCAAAGCAAGCUGAGUUCCUGACGGCUGCAUGGAAGUUAGCCAUCCAAGAGAAGAGAGGGCAUUCUAGAUAUGGAGGGCAGGCCACUGCUGCUGUCAUUAGAAAGACUCAUUUCAGCCCAGGCAAGGGGAGGAGAGCAAACCCAGAGAUGGUAACCUGCUCCCCUGAACCAGAGGAAGCAGAGACCUUCUCACAAGGACCAGGCGAGGGAUGGUCGAGAAGAUUCUAAUCCAGAUUCAGAAGAGGAGCUGACUGGCCUCUGGCAAGCCCAAGCUGGAUUACCAGCUGCGGAGGCAGAGGUGCCUGAGGUUUCCCAGCCCCCAGGCCAGAGGAGGCUGCUACACCCACUUCCCCCACGAAGCUGGGGCCCAGGCCAGAGAGAGAGCCCCAAAGCUGGUUUGGGGGCGGGGAGCUUCCCUACAGGCCCUGGAGCCCCAUAGGCCCCAAGACAAAGCAAGAGGAAUGAGAGGAAGCACAGCCGGGUCAAAGCUCCGAGCCACGAGUACUGAGGCAGGUGGUGGUACCCAGACCCCCUCUCCAUAGCUCCCAUGAGAGCACAAGGCGGAGGAGAGGACAGACUCCUGGCCUGAGGGGCCAAGCACCAGCUUCUCAGCCAGCUCUGCCACUGACUUGCUGCUUGGCAAGUCACUUAACUGUUCCAAGCCUCAGUUUUCACUUCUGGAAAUGGGGAUAUGACCCCCUGCCUGCCCCCUCAUGCUGGCAUAAGAAUCAAUGACCUGUGACAGGACUUUGUAAAUUAUAAGUUGGUAUUAGUUAGGCCUCUUUAGUCACAAAUGUGAGAAACUGACAUUAAAUGAGGCAAUGCAAAAGGGGGAUUCACCAGCUCAGAGGCCCAAGACCCAGGGCAGGGAGAGGAGGCGCUGUCAUUCCCUCUCACCCCUGCAUCUCUCUGCAAGUCAGUCUCUUCUUCCGCAAGCCUGGAGCCAACUUCACCUCCUAAGAGGAGCUUCUCUGCUCUGUCACUACCAACUUGAACAACCACAGGGAGGGCCCUGAAUUGUGUCACAUGUCCACCCAUGGCUGUGAGACACUAUCUUAUGCAGCUUCUUCUGGAAGCUUCUUAUUUUGAUUGUUGGCAUCAGCAUUAUAAGUUUGCCACAUUUUCCUGAUUCCUAUCCUCCUUGGACAAAAUAACAUAGGGGCUAAGGGCACAGGCUCUGGAACCCAGAUUACCUGGAUUCAAGUUCUGGUUCUGCCAUUUUCUCACUGUGUAACGUUGGGCAAGUCGCUUAACUUCUCUGCACCUCAGUUCAUAAAUCUGUGAAAACUAAAUGAGUUGAUACAUGGGAAGUAUGAACAAUUGUGCCUGGUGCCGGCCAGGGGUUCAACAAAUGUUAAUCAUUAUUAUUGUCGGAGAAUGAAGGGGCAGUGCCUGGGAAUCCCAGGAUGAGAGACAGCCUGAAGAAAAACCAUCCUGCUCCACCUACUCCUCAACCUUCUUCCGGGGAGAGCUGACAACUGCAGGAGCUAUGGCUCAACAAAGAUGUACAGAGCUAUGCAGUAAGCCCUGAGAAUUACAAAACUUGACAGACAAAGUCGCUUUUUCUCCAGAAGCUCAUUGCCAAGUAAGGGAGAUAGAAGCAUGAAGAGAUCAUUUCUAUCCUGUGCUGGAUAGAAGCGUGUGUAUGUCUCUGUGGGAAGCCACAGUGGGACAACUGGUCCAGAGAGAGCUGCCUGGAAGAAAUGACACCUGAGCUAAGGCCUGGAGCAGGGGCAAGAGCUUGCCAAGCAAGGAAAGGAGGGCAGGGCGUUGUGCUGUCCAUUGGCUAUUCAGUCUCGGCUCCAGAUCUCCACUUGUCAGCACAACGAGCCAGAUUCAUCUUCCAAAGCACCGCUGUCCUCUCCAAGCUGCAGUCUCUCACUCUCUUGCCCUUAGAGUAAGUCCGAAUGCCUCACCCGGGCCUCCAUGAUCCAGCCAAGCUGCCCUUGCAGCCUUUCCUCCCCGCACCCCACCGGCAUCCCCUGGGCUGCCCAAUCAGCCUCCACCAGAUUCCCAGGCAGGGGAGCCACGGGGGAAUGUCCAGUGUUGGAGCUGGAAGCCAGGGACGCUGACUUUAGAACUGUCUGGUUGCUGUGGAGCCUCAUGGAGUCUUCCCAGGUCUGUCUCCCUGUUUGAGGCUUGCACUCCAGAGGCCCCUCUGGGCAAUAAUGAACCACCGGGAGUGGUGCCGGGAUCGCAGACAGAGAUGGACUGCCUGGAGCAGGGUCACCAGGACCAAGGCAGUAACUCAGGUCUGUCAGCGACUUUGUCCACUUCGUCUGUCUCUCAGGCAAUUCCUAGAGCUGUGGGAGGGCCCAGGACAUGCCCACACCCAGCCACAGUGAGAAUGAGGCUGGUUGCUCCUCACUUCUGUUAAAUCAAACUAAAUUUGGCCUGAGAAAGCCUCUGUACUCACAUACUUGAGUUCUUACUUAGGAACAACAAGCUAACUUAGUACCUAAACAAACUGAAAACUCAACUCAGCAGUAUGCUUCUGUAACAAUGGCUGAGUCUCAGCCAGUCGCAGGCGGCCAGCUGUUCAGACCUUGUACCAAUGAGGAAAACGCUGAGCUGUAACUAACCCAGCUGUUUCUGUAGCUCACAAUUCCUAUUUGGUGUCAGAAGUGAGAAUACAGAGUAAAACUUCAGCAACCCCCAGGAACACCAGGGAACCAGACCAGAUACCUGCGAAGCCAGCUGUGCCCACUGAUUUCUUGUUUGUAACUGGAGGUCGUGGCUGAAUUUUCUCUCAGAUUCCAAGAUCCAAGAAUUUGUGUUCUCAGCUCUCCAAGUUUGUUUGAGCAAUCUUUGGACUGGGCUGGGUUUGGGAUUGGAUUGGAUUCAAUAAUCAACCGGAUUAGAUUCAGUUAGAGGCUGAGGGCCUCAGAACUACUGCAGGACCAUACCAGAAAAGCUCAGAGAAUCCACAGACCCUUAGAAGGAACUAGAUCACUGCUGCGGGGCCCCUGAGAUGCCGGAAAACUAAAGCUAUAUUUAAAAGGGGGCUGAUACUGCUGUUUUCUAAGAUACUGCCACCAGAUACGUUAAGGAAAUCUCUCAAGAGAAAGGAACAGAUGACAUGUCUAUGGGAGCAACUGACAGUUGGUUUGUAAGCAUCCCGAAUGGUGAAUGGCAAGCUUGGCUUUUUCCAAGGUUUUCUAAAGUAUAAAUUUCUUCCCUUAGGUCUCCAGGUUAUUAUGACUUGUGUUACCAGGUAACAACAAAAAUGGCCUUUUAAAAUCAGGCCAUUUUACAGCAAACUAUAGUUCUUAAUCAUCACCAAAUCCUGCACCAAGGACUAUGCCCAACUAGAGUCAAAUAUUGUUAAACUGCCUAUAUUGUCUGAACUUUGACCUGUUUGAUUUGGUUAGGUUCGUUGAGUUCAUUUCUUAGAACUUGUUGAGGAGUACACUUUGGACUUGUUUGUUUGUUUGCUUGUUUGUUUUAAGAGGUAGUGUCUGUGUAUGCUGCCCAGGCUGGAUUCAAACUCCUGGGCUUAAAAGAUCCUCCUGCCUCAGCCUCUCAAGUAACUGGGACUACAGGCUCAUACCACGGCAACCAGCUGGUCUUUUCCUAUUAUUUUCUUGAUCGUCAUAAUAGUCCCUUGAUAUGGUUUGGCUCUGUGUUCCCACCCAAAUCUCACCUUGAGUUGUUAUAAUCCCCACAUGUUGUGAGAGGAACCUGGCGGAAGGUAAUUGAAUCAUAGGGGCAGGUUUUUCCCAUGCUAUUCCAUUGAUAGUGAACAAGUCUCAUGUUCUCCCUCACAAGCUUUCUUGCCUACCACCAUGUAAGAUGUCCCUUUGCUCUUCCUUCAUCUUCCUACAUGUUUGUGAGGCCUCCCCAGCCAUGUGGAGCUGUGAGUCCCUUAAACUUCUUUCCUUUAUAAAUUACCCAGUCUUGGGUAUGUCCUUUUAGCAGUGUGAGAACAGACUAAUAUAUCCCCUGGGGCACGGCAUCAUCUCAAGUCUUAAAUGUUUUCUUUUUUUUUUUUUUUUUUUUGAGAUGGAGUCUCACUCAGUCACCCAGGCUAGAGUGCAAUGGCGCGAUCUUGGCUCACUGCAACCUCCACCUUCCAGGUUCAAGCAAUUCUCCUGCCUCAGCCUCUCGAGUAGCUGGGAUUACAGGCGUGUACCACCACACCUGGCUAAUUUUUGUAUUUUUAGUAGAGACGGGGUUUCACCAUGUUGCCCAGGCUGGUCUUGAACUUCUGACUUCAAAUAAUCCACCCGCCUCAGCCUCCCAAAGUGCUGGGAUUAUAGGCGUGAGCCACUGCACCCAGCCACUCAAGUUCUUAUGUAUGAACUGCAAACUAACUUAGUAUUAAACAAACUGAAAACCUAAUUUAGGGGUGAGCUUCUGUAACAAUAGCUAAGUCUCAACCAAUCACAACAGCCAUGCAUUAGUCAAUCACAGGCGGCCAGCUGUUCAGACCAUGUUCAAAUAAGGCGAAUACUGUGCUGUAACCAAUGCAGCUGUUUCUCUACCUCACUUCUAUUUUCUGUCCUUUGCUUUUCUUCUUCUGCCAUAAAUUUAUCUGCCCAUACAGCAGCCCUGAAGUCUCUCUGAAUCUGUUCCGAUUCUCAGGACUGCCAGAUUCAUGAAUCAUUUUUUUUUCUUUUUCUUGCUCAGUUAAACUCUGUUAAAUCUAAUUUGUCUAAAGUUUUUCUUUUAACCCUGCCAAGUAGCUCUUUCCAUCUGGUUCUUGUCUCAUGAUGUAAGUGUUUCUCUGCCUUUUCAUCUCUGAAACAGAGUCACCUGGCAUUGGUAAUAUUCUGUUCUGAUCACCUCUAAUGGGAAACUAGCUGUAAAGAUGCUGUUUACUAUUACAGUCAGAAAUUCACAUCGUUUACUGUUUUGCUUUUGUGUUAUGUUUUAAAGAUAACAUCGUAUGGCCUUCUUUCUGAAGGGCCUGAAGAAGCCUUUGGACCAAAGCAAUAAAAUUCUGACCUUCAAAAAAGAUUAUAUCACAUAAUUUUCUACCUUUAAAAAUUGUAUAACAUUUUUUAUUCUAAAAUAAAAAGCAUAGGUACACAAACCUAAGCUUUAUUCCCAAAAAAGAUGUUUUCUAAGGGAAUAUAUUCAGGUUACAAAAUGCUAUUUUUAGGGAGCUAAAUGAUAAGAACUUAUGGACACAGAGAAGGAAACAACAGAUACUGGGGCUUACUCAAGGCGGGAGGGUGGCAGGAGGGAGAGGAGCAGAACAGGUAACUAUCAGGUACUGAGCUUGAUACCUGGAUGAUGUAAUAAUAUGUACACCAAAGCCCCGUGACAGGUGUCUGUCUAUGUAACAAACCCUCAAAUGUACCCCUAAACCUAAAAUAAAAAUGUUGUUUU